AAAAACAUAGGUAAUCAGAGAUUACAGAGCUCACCUCAACGAAUGUUGUCUUUAGGUAAGGCAAAGUCACACAAUUAACCAACAAAAAAGUGUACAUUCCAAAAAUGAAAAUAUUUAAGCAAUUUUAAUCUGAUUUUCAAAUAGACCUACAUAAAAAAUUUAAACUAGUUCUUCUUCAUGAAAAUGUAAUUAAAAUCCAGCAUCUGAAGCAAAAUUUGAGAGUUUUCAUCUCUUGAUGCAACAUUUGUGCAAGUUUGGUUUAUACAAUGUUAUAUAAGCCUUAUAGUUUUUUGGUAAUAGACCUGCACCCAUAACUUUUACCUGGUCUAUUAUCUGGAAAUGUAUGUGGAAUUCAGCAUCCGAAGCAAUUCCAUUAGUGUGCAUCCUAAGAUGUAUCAUCCAUGCAAGUUUGCUCAUUAUCAUGCUCAUAGUUAAUUGGAAAUUAAACAUGCAUCAAAAACUAACAUUUUCAUUCAUCAACAAAAAGUAGGUCAGAUUCAGCAUCUGAAGCAAGCCCGGUAGUAUGCAUCCUAAGAUGUAUCAUCCAUGCAAGUUUGGUCAUUAAAGAACUCAUAGUUACUUGGAAAUGAAUCAUGCACCAAAAACUUUAACCUAUUCACUCAACUGGAAAAUGUAGGUCAGAUACAGCAUCCGAAGCAAGCCUGGUAGUAUACAUCGUUAUAUGUAUAAUCCAUGCUAGUUUGGUCAACAUAGGGCUAUUAGUUACUUGGAAAUGAAACCUGCACCAAAAACUUUAACCUGUUCACUCAACCAGAAAAUGUAGGUCAGAUUCAGCAUCCGAAGCAAGCCUGGUAGUAUGCAUCCUUAGAUGUAUCAUCCAUGCAAGUUUGGUCAACAUAGGGCUUAUAGUUACUUGGAAAUGAAACCUACACCAAAAACUGCACCAAAAAUGUUAACCUGCUCCAAAAACAUUAACCUGGUCAUUCCUUUGCUGAAAUUGCAGCAUCUGAAACUUUGACUGGUACAAUGAAACACACUAGAACCAUCUUCCAUGCAUGUCUAAUCAAUAUAGGACAUAGAAGUACUUAAAAAGAAAACUGCUCCAAAAAACUUAACCUUAACCUGGGACGCCGACGCCGAGGGUAUUACAUAAGCUCCCCAACUUCAUUGAGGUGAGCUAAUAA